CCUCUAUCACCUGAGGUUGUUUUUAAUCUCCUCAGACUGAUUGGUGAACUUUAUGCAGUACUGAAGUCACAGUUUCCAGUACAUUGAAAAUCUCAUGGUUUACUGAUCAAAAUCAGCCUGGUGAUUCUCUCUAUGUAGCUGGUGCUUGGAAGACACUCAGAGUCUGAACAGAUCAUGGAGAGUCUAUCUCCACCCCUAUGCUGGGCUUGCCAGUUGCUCAGCACAUAUCAC